CGCGGGGUGGAGCAGUCUGGCAGCUCGUCGGGCUCAUAACCCGAAGGUCGUA
rnacentral:tRNA from 1 species